rnacentral:lncRNA from 1 species
GUCCGGUCGAGCGUCACUAGCCAGAUAAAGCUAGCUGGCUGCUUAUAACCUUAGCUUUGGUCAACAGGGUUAAGUAGCUGGCUAGCUAUUUAUUUUCAUGAACUGAAGUUCAAUUUCAAUUGGCAAACAACAAGUGGCUACCUAGCUAAAACGUACUCACAAGGAUUCCUUGUUAAGGAUAAUGAAAAUGACUGCAGUUUCUACUGGUCGUUGUUUUCAGGCUGGUUGUAUUGGUGCUAGCUAGGUACCACGCUAAAGCUAGCUAGCUACCCCAGAAGAUGCAGUCAAACAAAUAAUGUCUUAUUACCAUCGUGGUAUUGUAAACAUAUCGUUUGUGGCCAUUGUGUGCUUGUUUGCAGACUUUUUUGUACAGCUUUGACAGUGCUACUGAUAGUGGUGGCGCUUGGCUUACACGUGCAAAUUCAUCACACACAACAUUCUAAUAGAAUUAUUCUAUAUGUGUAGGGAAGUAUUUAAACACUUGCUUAGGUCCAACCUCUGAUCUUUCCAAGGAUUUUUUAUAUGCCAAACUGGAACCCAAACAAUGCAAAAACUGGGCAUCGACGCGUCGCAACUCCAAUAACCCUUCCUUGAGCCUAUGCCUCUGACAGCACAAUGACUGAUGACUCCCCUUCAGGCUACAGGAAUGGAACCAGGGAACAGUGAGGGAAGGGUUGAGGUUCUGGGAUAAAUUUAUUGGACGGACAGGAAGGGUGCCCACGAUGUCCCGGAGCAGAUGGCGACCCUCUCCUUUGCUGACGUCCGUAGGGAAUUCAAGACCCUUCUUAGCAUUCCUUUAGAGUGCUCCGACAGAUAUGUAGCCUAUGGAACUCUUGAGUGUCACUGUGCAACAUUAACCACACACGUGUCUCCGGAAGGUGGUGAUUGACUCCGCUGUCCUGGCGUCGUGAGGGAGCUUGUUCCACCAUUGGGGUGCCAGAGCAGCG